AGAGUUUGAUCCUGGCUCAGAACGAACGCUGGCGGCGUGGAUAAGACAUGCAAGUCGAGCGCUGAUUUCAGGGUAGCAAUAUUCUGAGGUCGGAGCGGCGCAAGGGUGCGUAACACGUGGGUAAUCUGCCAUGAAGUUCGGGAUAACUUGCUGAAAGGCGAGCUAAUACCGGAUGUGACAACUGGGAGGCAUCUUCUGGUUGUUAAAGUUGGGGACCGUAAGGCCUGACGCUUCUUGAUGAACCCGCGGCCUAUCAGCUAGUUGGUGAGGUAACGGCCCACCAAGGCUAAGACGGGUAGCUGGUCUGAGAGGACGACCAGCCACACUGGAACUGAGACACGGUCCAGACACCUACGGGUGGCAGCAGUCGAGAAUUUUUCACAAUGGGCGCAAGCCUGAUGGAGCGACGCCGCGUGGGGGAUGAAUGGCUUCGGCCCGUAAACCCCUGUCAUUCGCGAUCAAACGUUAUUAUUUAAAAGAUGAUGACCUGAUAGUAGCGGAAGAGGAAGGGACGGCUAACUCUGUGCCAGCAGCCGCGGUAAUACAGAGGUCCCAAGCGUUGUUCGGAUUCACUGGGCGUAAAGGGUGCGUAGGUGGUGAGGUAAGUCGGAUGUGAAAUCUCGGAGCUCAACUCCGAAAUGGCAUUGGAAACUACCUUGCUCGAGGGUUGGAGGGGGGACUGGAAUACUUGGUGUAGCAGUGAAAUGCGUAGAUAUCAAGUGGAACACCAGUGGCGAAGGCGAGUCCCUGGACAACUCCUGACACUGAGGCACGAAAGCUAGGGGAGCAAACAGGAUUAGAUACCCUGGUAGUCCUAGCCGUAAACGUGCACGUUUGCUGUAAAAGGAAUCGACCCCUUUUGUGGCGGAGCCACGCGUAAACGUGCCGCCUGGGAAGUACGGUCGCAGAUUAAACUCAAAGAAAUUGACGGGGCCUGCACAAGCGGUGGGAG
rnacentral:rRNA from 1 species